rnacentral:lncRNA from 1 species
GUUGCCGGGUGUGAGGGCUGUGGAAUCAGAGUUCAGCUUGGCUCCCAGGUGAAGCAGCUCAGGUCCCCAGGAUACUCCCAGUGGGCUCUUCGAAACAUGACUUGCAGCUGCUGCCCUAUAUGCUGCUCCCCACUUCAGUCCUGCCCACAGAGCCAUCACUUAAACGAGUAAACUUGUUGACUCGGUGAAUAUUUCCAUGCAGAGUGGUGGUCAUAGCUGUCUUAAAACCAAUCCAGUUGCAAUACCCAAUGUGAAGAUUAGCCCUGAGCUAACGUCUGCUGCCAAUCCUCCUCGUUUUGCGGAGGAAGACUGGCCCUGAGCUAACAUCCGUGCCCAUCUUCCUCUACUUUACAUGUGGGAUGCCUACCACAGCAUGGCUUGCCAAGCCGUGCCAUGUCCGCACCCGGGAUCCGAACCAGCAAACCCCAGGCCGCUGAAGCGGAACAUGUGAACCCAGCUGCUGCCCUACCAGGCCGGCCCCUGGACAUCUCAUUUUUAACCCUCUGCCACUACCAACCCCCUCCCCCAAAUACUGUUCUUUUAAAACUCCAUUCAGAGUGUAAGCUAAUGGUUGCUUUGCAAAGGAUAUAGUUGUUUUAUUUUCCACAUCUAGAAAAAGAAACAGAAUUUAACCAAGCG